rnacentral:lncRNA from 1 species
GGGUGAGAGUGCAGGUAGUUAUCAGAGAAUAGCUUGUACUUAGCGUAAUCAAUACAAGAAAUCACUUGGAUGUCUACUCACUCGUCAGUGGUUGUCUCGAUGCUACAGUGAUAUGAGUGAUCCUUUGACUUAUGGUGUCAUUAACUAUUCACAAUAAAACUACUGAGUUUGACUGUACAUUUUCUUGAUUCCUAGCCAUUCAGAUCCUUACUUUGUAUGUUGGCUACAGUAGGUUCAGAUUUGCUG